rnacentral:rRNA from 1 species
CCUACGGGAGGCAGCAGUGGGGAAUAUUGGGCAAUGGGCGCAAGCCUGACCCAGCAACGCCGCGUGAAGGAAGAAGGCUUUCGGGUUGUAAACUUCUUUUGUCAGGGAAGAGUAGAAGACGGUACCUGACGAAUAAGCCACGGCUAACUACGUGCCAGCAGCCGCGGUAAUACGUAGGUGGCAAGCGUUGUCCGGAUUUACUGGGUGUAAAGGGCGUGUAGGCGGGUUGACAAGUCAGAUGUGAAAUCCUGCGGCUUAACCGCAGAACUGCAUUUGAAACUGUUGAUCUUGAGUACUGGAGAGGCAGAUGGAAUUCCUAGUGUAGCGGUGAAAUGCAUAGAUAUGAGGAGGAACACCAGUGGCGAAGGCGGUCUGCUGGACAGCAACUGACGGUGAGGCGCGAAAGCGUGGGGAGCAAACAGGAUUAGAUACCCGAGUAGUC